ensembl:lncRNA
GGAGAGGUCUGGCUGUGACAAAGAGAUGGGGAGAGGUCUGUCUGUAAUAAAGAGAUGGGGAGAGGUCUGUCUGUAAUAAAGAGAUGGGGAGAGGUCUGUCUGUAAUAAAGAGAUGGGGAGAGGUCUGUCUGUAGUAAAGAGAUGGGGAGAGGUCUGUCUGUAGUAAAGAGAUGGGGAGAGGUCUGUCUGUAGUAAAGAGAUGGGGAGAGGUCUGUCUGUAAUAAAGAGAUGGGGAGAGGUCUGUCUGUAAUAAAGAGAUGGGGAGAGGUCUGUCUGUAAUAAAGAGAGGGGGAGAGGUCUGUCUGUAAUAAAGAGAUGGGGAGAGGUCUAGCCAUAACACAGAGAUGGGUAGAGGUCUGUCUGUAAUAAAGAGAUGGGGAGAGGUCUGUCUGUAAUAAAGAGAUGGGGAGAGGUCUGUCUGUAAUAAAGAGAGGGGGAGAGGUCUGUCUGUAAUAAAGAGAUGGGGAGAGGUCUGUCUGUAAUAAAGAGAUGGGGAGAGGUCUGUCUGUAAUAAAGAGAUGGGGAGAGGUCUGUCUGUAAUAAAGAGAAGGGGAGAGGUCUGGCCGUAAUAAAGAGAUGGGGAGAGGUCUGUCUGUAGUAAAGAGAUGGGGAGAGGUCUAGCCAUAACACAGAGAUGGGGAGAGGUCUGUCUGUAAUAAAGAGAUGGGGAGAGAUCUGUCUGUAAUAAAGAGAUGGGGAGAGGUCUGUCUGUAAUAAAGAGAUGGGGAGAGGUCUGUCUGUAUUAAAGAGAUGGGGAGAGGUCUGUCUGUAAUAAAGAGAUGGGGAGAGGUCUGUCUGUAAUAAAG